AAAAUUGGCUUCUUGUGGAAACAAGGAUUGUUGAUAAGCCUCAGUUGAGACAUCAUUUCUUUAUGAUAACUCUUCCAGGAGUGGAUUUUCCUUCCUAGGUAUAGAUUUCUCUUACCUCCUGUUGUCUCACUCUUGUUCUUAACUAUGAGUCAUUCGUAAGUUGGAUGUUUGUAAGUCAGAGACUGCAUGUAUUAUUAUUAGUUUUAAGGUUAUAGGCUCAGCAUAUGAUUGCACAGCUCAGUUUUCUGGGGAUAUUUUUGUAUGUGAAAUACAGUAGACAAUCCUCAGAGAAAAGUAUUUGUCUCAGUUGACUCCUCUGUGUGGAAAAAGCAAAUAAAAGUAACAGAAGUUGUUUGUCUUCUUCCACCAUAUAUGAAAAAGAUCUAAUUUUCAGUCUCUGGCUCCUCCAAGGACUAUGGAAAAGGUUGGCUAAAACUACAACAGAACCAGUGUUUUUUAAGAUGAAAUAGUUCUAAGAUUUUUUUAUUUUUCUCAGUCUGCUACAAUGAAGUAGGUCAUCUGGCUGAUUUUCUCUCUAUAUAUAUGUCCCUUUAUUUAUUUAGUGGGAAGACACUCUUUAUCUCCAAAUCUUCUUGAAAAAUGUUAGGUCUGCAGUAUAAAAAGAUUUGGGCCAAGCAUUACAAUACUGUUGUUAUUGUAGUGAUAAAGGGGGCAAGGUGGCUUGUAUAACUCUCAUGCACAAUCCCAUGGAGGCUACAUUGCUGUACAUUCAUGGGGCCAUGUAUACAAGUGAGAGAAGAAAAGAGAGAGAUCAAGCAAAAGAGAAGAAACCCUAGUCACCCUCAAGGAAAAAGUGACACACGAGGAAAAAAAUGGCAAUCAACCAAAUCUUAUAGUAGAUAACAAUUGGUAAUGAUGUAUCCUUUCAAAUCAUUCCUGACUUGUAGUGACCAUAAGCCAAACCUAUCAUGGGGUGGUGGAUUUUUUGCAAGAUAUGUUUAAAGGGGUUUGGCUUUUUUAUUUCUCCGCAGCUGAGAGAGUAUGGUCUGCCUAAGAUCUCUCAGUGGGCUUUUAUGGCUAAAUGGGGGUGUGAAAUCAUCAGUUUUCUAAAUAGGGCUCACCUUUAGCCUUCUGAUAAUGGCCUAUGACAGCCACCAAGAAAGUCUUAUCCCAUGUUCCCACCACCUGCACACAGGAAAAAAGGUCACAUAAAAUGACCCGACAGUUCAAAUUUGGCCCAAAGCCUUGACACAUAUGCUAUAGAGUUACACUGAAGGAUCUAGAAAUUUCUAGAGGGAACAUUUCAGCCAAAUCCACUGAUAAUAAAAGCCACAAAAGUGAAAAAAGCUGACCGUAUUUUGAAAACAAAACAUCAACUAAAACCUGAGGUUUUCUGUUGCUAUUGAUAGAAGAAGCUGUAUGCUCAGAAAUGGAGAAGCAUUACUGUUCCAUUGCAAGAAGACUGGCUGAUAAAACUCUAUGACCUUGCAGAGAUGGACAAGUUGAGGAUCUUGAUUGAAGAUAAAUCAUUGUCAUUUUUGAUAAAGCUUGAGAUGUAGUAAUUGCUGAUGUGUAACAAUGCUAGAGGAGAUUUGCAGCAUUAAUUUUUGAAGAACAGUAGAAUUUUCUGUUAUUGUAGAAGUUAAUUAAGAUAAGUACUUGGAGGAAAUAGAUAUAUUUGAUAAUUAAAAUCACUAGUUUGGAAGUUGGAAGUCACAUGAUUAUCUCCUGUAUUAGUAACAUUAGGUUUUUGGGAUUUUUUAAAAAAUUCUCUUACAUUAUUGCAGCUUUAUAGUUUUUACCUAUAUGUUUUUAUAUACUGUACUUAAUUUUUCCAAUAUUUAAUAGAGUUUUUUUUUUAAAAAAAGAAAGAACAAUAAAUAGAUGCAAUUCAGAACACAAAAGUCUCUUUCAUACUGAGCAACCAGUCCCCAAGGGUCUUCACCUAUUUAUGAAAGGACAGCAAGAAGGAUGCCAGCCUAUCUCUCUAGGAAGCCACCUAGAAAGUCUUCUUCCAUUCUCACUAGAUGUAGCUGUACAGGUAAUGGCAGAAAGAAAGAAGGGCCUCCCUGGAAGAUCUCAGUACUGUCAAUUAGAGAUUGCUGUGUUAUCUAGAAAUAAAUUGAAUGUAACUCCAUGAGUUUAAAUGUUUGUAUGAAAAGAUACUUCUUCAACAACAUGUGGUCACUGCUAGGAGCUACUGAAGGUUUAAGUAAGUGAUGGGACUGGCCAAGGAAGCAGUGUCACACCCAUGUGAUAAAAAUGACAAGUUCCACGUCAUAUCCUUUGUCCUUGAGCAUGACGGAUAUCCAGUGUGACUGUAUCUAGAGAGUGGAGGACAUGCGCUCACCCCUCUUCUUCUCCAACGCCUCCAUGAGGGAGGAUGUGUGACCAUGAUGGGAGUAAUCACCCAUGAUUAGAAAUGAAAUUGAUGGGGAGCUGCGUUUCAUCAACUGGAACAGAAGUGCGUUUGAGAGAGCUGACCCAAAUGAAUGACAACUAAUUUUUGUCAUGUGCGUAAUCUUGCACUCUUUGCCACAAUGCUGUUAUGCUGUUGGGAGGCAUGAGAACGCUUUCAUUAUGAAGUUGCCUAGUUACUGGUUUCAAGAGCUGCUGGAAAUGCAGAAAGGAAAACACCUGCCAUGGUCAAUCUAAUUGCUCUCAAUAUACUUUCAGGCAUCAAGUUUGUGUUUCAUCAUCUCAGUCUUCUCCAACUGACUGGCUUGGCUCUUAUAGUAUGACAGCAGCAUGGUGUGAAGCCCAUAUAAUGCUUAAGAUAGUAAGAUUUACCUCUAGUUAUUAAGGGUGGGAGACUCAUGGGAACUCCAUGCAUGCUACUUUGACAUCUCUGGAAGACAGAACACAAUUGCUAUCACUGAGCAAAAAAUGCUUAAGACACACUUUUUAUCCUCUAGGAAAAUUACAAAUACAAUUAUGUUGUCAGUCGCAUAGAAAAAAGAAUGCUGUUUUUCAGAGACUACUCUGAAUAUUUAUGAUUAUUUUUAAUGGUACCCUAGCCACAGGUAAGAUGGUAGAUUCAGCCUCAGUUGGAGAGUGAAUCCAUUCCAGAUUUCAUGCAAGACUUUAAAGGUGAUCAGCUUGAAUAGUUUUGUUAGGCUUAAAGUCUGGGGUGCAUCUACACUGCAAAAUUCAUGUAGUUUGACAUCACUUUAACUGGCAUUGCUCAAUGCUAUGGAAUCAUGUACAUCGUAGUUUAAAGAAUCACCAGCAUUAUUUGGCAGAGAAAGCUAAAGCCCUUGUAAAACAACCAAUCCUGGGAUGUCAAACCACACAAAUUAUACACUAUAAGCCGGACCAUAGAACCAGGGCAAAUUCUUCACCACACUGGCAUGGAACUGACCAAUCAGGAAGAAACAUCUAAAACCCGGGAACAAAUCCAGAUAAAAAAUUCUGUGAUUUUCCUUUGCGGGGACAAACAGACAGGCGAAGAUCCAGACCGGGCUGUGGUGCAGCUGGUUAGUAGCCAGCUGCAAUAAAUCACUACUGACUGAGAGAUCAUAAGUUCAAAGCCAGCCCGGGGCAGGGUAAGCUCCUGACCAUUAAUAGUCCAGCUUGCUGUUGACCUAUGUAGACGAAAAACAGUUGCAUCUGUCAAGUAGGAAUUUAGAUACCACUUAUAUGUGGAGGCUAAUUUAACUAAUUUAGGGCUCCAUAAAAAUCUUCAGCAGCAUGCGGAAGUAUGAGGAAGUAUUCUAUCAAGGACUUGGUGUCACAAGUGGACGGUAAAGCAGUAGCUUCCCCUGUGGCCAGAAUUGAGCAUACCCUCAUGAAAGCAGAAGCUGGAAUGUUAAAUUACCUCGUGUCUGUCUAUAUGUGUUUGUCUAUAUAUGUUGUGUGUCUAAUGGCAUUGAAUGUUUGUCAUGUAUAUGUGUAUUGUGAUCUGCCCUCAGUCCACUUUGGGGUAAGAAGGGCAGAAUAUAAAUACUGUAAAUAAAUAUUCGACAAAAAACCACAA